UACGUAGGGGGCUAGCGUUGUCCGGAAUUAUUGGGCGUAAAGAGCUCGUAGGCGGUUUGUUGCGUCGGCCGUGAAAACCUGCAGCUUAACUGUGGGCCUGCGGCCGAUACGGGCAGACUUGAGUUCGGUAGGGGAGACUGGAAUUCCUGGUGUAGCGGUGAAAUGCGCAGAUAUCAGGAGGAACACCGGUGGCGAAGGCGGGUCUCUGGGCCGAUACUGACGCUGAGGAGCGAAAGCGUGGGGAGCGAACAGG
rnacentral:rRNA from 1 species